rnacentral:rRNA from 1 species
UACGGAGGAUGCGAGCGUUAUCCGGAUUUAUUGGGUUUAAAGGGUGCGUAGGCGGGCUUUUAAGUCAGCGGUAAAAAUUCGGGGCUCAACCCCGUCCGGCCGUUGAAACUGGGGGCCUUGAGUGGGUGAGAAGAAGGCGGAAUGCGUGGUGUAGCGGUGAAAUGCAUAGAUAUCACGCAGAACCCCGAUUGCGAAGGCAGCCUUCCGGCGCCCUACUGACGCUGAGGCACGAAAGUGCGGGGAUCGAACAGG